UACCAGCACCCCGAGUGGUCGGGACGAUUAUUGGGCCUAAAGCAUCCGUAGCCGGUUCUACAAGUCUUCCGUUAAAUCCACCUGCUUAACAGAUGGGCUGCGGAGGAUACUAUAGAGCUAGGAGGCGGGAGAGGCAAGCGGUACUUAGUGGGUAGGGGUAAAAUCCGUUGAUCCAGUGAAGGCCACCAGUGGCGAAGGCGGCUUGCCAGAACGCACUCGACGGUGAGGGAUGAAAGCUGGGGGAGCAAACCGG
rnacentral:rRNA from 1 species